rnacentral:lncRNA from 1 species
AGAGCCGGAAUGUUUGGUAAUUUUUUUUUCCUUCCUUCCUAUUAUUGUUGUAAUUAUUAAUCUAACGAGAGCAUCUGAGGAGGAGUACAUCAAAAAAUAGCACAGCUGCGUGGUAGUUAAAGUAGAAACUCUCAGCAUCCAUAAACGAUUGUAUCAAUUAUGCAAAACGAGAAUGGCAUUAAUGAUUAAAUCUCAAAUAGGGUAAUGUUUGAUGCAUAAAUUAUGCACUAUCAAGCGCGAGUCAUGAGAAUUUUACAUUACAUAUCACUUUGGGAAGAUAAUAUUGCAAAAUUGCUAUUGUGCAGAAGCGUGUUUUAGGUCGGAAACGAAAAUUCGCGCAACUUUAAUCGAGCGUAACAGAACGCAUAUUUGGAAUUUUAGGAAAAUGCUGUGAUCAAUUAGAUUAUCGCGUGUUUUAUUAACGCGUAACGAUUAAUAGCGCGCGCUAUAUUCAGGAAGUAGCUGCUUACACAAUUAUUAUGCACCUUUCCAUCAGAAAAUGGAAAUGAAGCGUGAAUAAGUAAUGUCCCUCGUGACACGCGUUCGUUCGAAAGGAACAUUGAUUAACAGCGAAUACGUGCGUGACCGUGACAAAAGACGAAGACGGGGAAAUUGCUUUUAUGCCACAUGGCUGGCAUCUGUAAUUAAUUUUAAACUCAAAAAUUAUAUAGUUCCACCUAAAAAAUGUCCUCAUUGUAUAUUCCUUGUACGUCUUUCCUUUAAUAUUGCUAGAAACUCAUAUCAUUUUUUUUUUUUAAGUUCUACCAGUUUAAUGAAAACGCAAACUUGUUCUAAAAUAUAAAAUUAAUUCGCUAAAGAUUAAAAAAAAAAUACAUGUCGACAGUUUUGGCUCAACGUGUAUCGCGAUGUCAUCAAAAUGUUAUUUUCGGCAGCACUACAACACUCUUGUCAUUUUUCUGAUAAUCUGU